rnacentral:rRNA from 1 species
UUCUAGUAUGAUAAAUUAAUGAUUUAAGUCCUUCUUAAAUGAGGCCAUUUACCCAUAGAGGGUGCCAGGCCCGUAUAACAUUAAUGAUUAUUAGAAGAUAUUUCCAAAGAGUCGUGUUGCUUGAUAGUGCAGCACUAAGUGGGUGGUAAACUCCAUCUAAAACUAAAUAUAACCAUGAGACCGAUAGUAAACAAGUACCGUGAGGGAAAGUUGAAAAGAACUCUGAAUAGAGAGUUAAAUAGUACGUGAAACUGCUUAGAGGUUAAACCCGAUGAACCUGAAUAUCCCAAUAAUAGAGAAUUCAUCAUUAAAAUUAUGGUGUGCAUUUUCUCUAUACAUUGUAAUCUAUUAAUAUUAUCAUAAGAUUUAUUUUUGAUAAAGUAUUAAUAGUAUAAUGCAUUUAUACGAUUUACAAUGCGAAAGAUUCAGGAUACCUUCGGGACCCGUCUUGAAACACGGACCAAGGAGUCUAACAUAUGUGCAAGUUUUUGGAAACCCAAAAGCAUAAUUAACAUAAGGGAUUAGUUUUUCAAUCCCAGGGCGUUCUAUACAGUUAUGUAUAAUAGUAACCUCUAACUAGAGCGUACCUUGAGCAUAUAUGCUGUGACCCGAAAGAUGGUGAACUAUACUUGAUCAGGUUGAAGUCAGGGGAAACC